rnacentral:ncRNA from 1 species
AUAAAUGCACUGAUCGGGAAGAGUAAAUUCAAUUGAGAGUUAAAAGAGAAUUGUGCCGGCGGCUGAAAGCACAUAAUUUUUCAGUGAAUUGAAAACCACCCGGGAGCAGAUAGGAGGAAUUUAGUAUUUCUAUCCGGUUAAUCCGUUAUCUUGAUGAGUGAAUAAUAAUUUUAAUUAUUUUAUUAAAAUAGAAUGUUUAUAAUUAUUAUUAACUAGAGUGGAACCGCGCAAUCCGUCGUCUCUAUU